CUUUCUUUGACUUGGCUCUUUGGCAAUAAUUAUGCAUUACUUAUGUAAGUUUUCCACACGGUACCUAGCUCAGAGGCAGUCAUCUUGAUCUACAAAAGGAAGACGUGAGCAAUUCAGUGAUCAUUCUUUUCCAGCCUACAUACCCUACCAGAGUUGGUUGAUUGUUUCACCUAUCACCAGUGUAUCACGUUGAAAAGUCUUUGAUCCAUUUGGUACCACGUACAGUCGGUCAAGAUGCCUUUUGGAGGAGGAGAAAAAAAAUGCCCAAGAUGUGGCAAAUCCGUCUAUAUGGCGGAAGAGAAGAUAGGUGCAGGGCAGUCCUGGCACAAAUCGUGUUUCUCGUGCGAAUCUUGCAGUAAGCACCUGGAUUCCACCACCGUGUCCGAUAAAGAGGGGAAAAUCUACUGUAAAGCGUGCUACGGGACGCUCUUCGGGCCGAAAUGAUACGGAUAUGACGGAGGUGCCGGUGCUCUUACAAACAAAGACUAGAUAAAUAUCUUGGUAUUACUAAGGUUAAAAAUUGGAAUUACAAUGAAAUGUGACCGGGGGGGGGGGGGUUCACGAAAGUACUUGUUAGACGUUUUAUCCGCCAAGUCUCACUUUAUCCGACAGUUACCAUAUUAACAGUGCCUCUCAGCCAAUCGAAAUCAUGGAAAGUUGUCAGAUCUUAGUGACAACUUGUGGACGAAACAUUGAUGAAACGCUUCUCCGGUGCCCAGUUGCAGUAACGAUUGUGUUUAAACGCAACUCAAAAUAUCAAGCACAACCCCCAAAUGCGCUACUUUAAUUGGUCGAAAACUAAGUUGCAUAAAAAUUAUAUAUAUAUUUUUUUGUUUUCAGAGUUAUGUUUGAUUGCGACUGUUUCUGCAACUUGGACCUGGGGGGUUUUCACAAAGUGUAACUUAAGCCCAGCGCACACUAUGCGAUUCGGUGUGACGCGACUUUUUCUUUCAAUAAAUCAGAUUUCGAAAGAAGUGUUACGUUUCCAUGAAGCAAAGUUAGUUUUAUUGGAAGUUCGGCAUUAUGUUAGGAAUAAUAAAAUCAUAAGGAAUUUGGUUUGGCUCAAGUAUACCAGAUUUACGUAAAAUGUACAAUACACAAGUAUUUGAAUUAUAAGUCCAAGUGCAUUAAAACUUGUAUACUUGCCUUUAGCAUUGAACAGAAUUUAGUAAAGUAUCUGUUUGUAGUAUGUCAACUUAAUGAGUAAUUUUACUUCUUGUUGUGUUUCAAUUAGUUCAUCUACUUAUAACCCAAAAGAAGGUAAUGUUCUUUUGAAUAGACGAUACAACUUUUUAUAAAUCAUUUUCUCAUAAGUAUUAUUUCUAUGAAUACAUUCCUGUUUGUUAUUUGGCACCAUGCACAAUAAUUGAAAAGGCAUUCUUGUUGAAGCAUUUAAAAACAGAGAAUUUUAUUAAUGAAUUAUAUGAAGCUAUAUUGUAGAAAUAUUAUAUGAACUUCGAUUUAAGUCCUGUAAACAGUGUAUUUAAUGAACUAUGUUGAUGUUAUGAAUGUAAUUUGUAGAAUUGAUUUUGUAUAAAGUUUGUCAGAUAAAUUUAACAAAAUUAAACUACAUUAUAGGGUUUAUAACUAACUGUAAGGUACGUGACACGACAUUUGAUCCUGCUACAUCUGCUAUGGCGUUAAUAUCUCAGAUGCAUGAGUUAGGAUUGUAAUAGAGAUCGAUAUGAAGACAAUAAUUACGGUUUAGUUCAUCUUGGAGGUUAGGUUUCAUGCUUUAUGUUUGGCUUAACGUGCAGAUUUUUCAUCGGAGCAAUUGUCGCCGGAUCAAAUGUCAUGAAACCAACAUUUAAUGUACAUAUCCGCACAUCUCAACACACACCCUUACCCACACACCCUCACACACACACACAAACACACAUAUAUAUAUAUAUACAUAUACAUAUUUCAUGUACAAUUAUGUUUGUGAAACUGCAGGGUAUCUUUUGUAAGCAGCUCUACAAAACUACAGGACUAACUUGCAGGGGUAAAUAAAUGAAUAAAAUUAA
rnacentral:lncRNA from 1 species